AGCCAGGAUGCAGUCCUAGGGAACCAUGCAGGCACAUCCAAUGGUCUUUAAUGACUGGCUUUUUCAUUUUAAAUAUUUUAGAAAUACAUAAAAGGAUAAAAAAUAAUAGCUCUAUCUUCACCAUCUAAAAGUAGCAGAUGCUAACAAUUAUAUGUGUGCUUUACACCUUUUGUGUUUAAAAAUAAGAGUUAGAAUCCCCUCUGUCCUCCCUGCAGUCCAUUUUUUUCCUCCUUCAAAGAAACAAUUCUCUCAAAGUUGAUAUCUUCUUAUCCCAGUUUUUAUUGUUUAUUGAUUUUUUGUUUGAGAUAAAAUCGACAUAUAACAUUAUAUUUGUUUAAGGUGUAUAGGUGUUUGCUUCAGCACACGUAAUAAAAUCAUUUAAGGUGUACAGUGUAAUGAUUUGACAUGUUUAUAUGUGUGUGUGUGUGUGUAUACGCACACACACACACACAUAUACGUAUGUAUUUUUUUUUUACGUUUAUUUUUUUUGAGAGAGAGUGAGCAAGAGUGGGAGAGGGGCAGAGAGAGAAUCCCAAGCAGGCUCUGUACUGUCAGUGCAGAGCCUGAUGCAGGGCUGGAACUCAUGAACCAUGACGACAUGACCUGAACCAAAAUCCAGAGUCAGACACUUAACCAACUGAUCCACCUAGGCGCCCCUUGAUAUAUUUAUAUAUUGCAAAAUGAUUACCACAGUAAGUUUAGUUAAUAUCACUUCACAUGGUUACAAAUUUUUUGUUAAUAACUUUCAAGGUUGAUUUUUUUGCAACUUUCAAAUAUGCAAUAUAGUAUUGUUAACUAUAGUUGCCAUGCUGUACAUUAUAUCCCCAGAACUUACUUAUCUUAUAAUUGGAAGUUUGUACCUUUUGAGCACCUUCACGCCCACCUUUGGCAACCACUAUUCUAUUCUCUGUGUCUGUGAGUCUGGUGUUUUAGAUUCCACAUAUAAGUGAGAUCAUACAUUAUUUGUCUUUCUUUGACUUACUUCACUUAGCACAAUGCCCUCAAAGCCAUCCAUGCUGUUAUAGAUGGCAGGAUUUCCUUUUUUUUCUAUGGAUGAAUAAUAUCUGUUUAUAUAUGUUUUUUUCUUUAUCCAUUUAUCUGUGGAUGGGCAGUUAGGUUGUUUCUGCAUCUUGGCUAUUUUAAAUAAUGCUGCAGUGAACAUGAGGGUGCAUGUAUCUUUUUGAGGUAGUGAUUUCUUUUCACUUCUGGGUCAUUUGGUGUUCUUAAGUUUUUAAGGAACCUCUAUACUCUUUUAUUUAUUUUGAAUACUGUUUUACUUAGUGGCUACACCAAUUUACAUUCCCCCUAACAAUGCACAAGGGUUCCCUUUUCUCUCCAUCCUCUCCAACACUUGGUAUCACUUGUCUUUUUGAUAAUAGCCAUUAUUCUGGGGCGCCUGGGUGACCCAGUGGGUUAAGUGUCCAACUCUUGAUUCUGGCUCGGGUCAUGAUCUCACGGUUCAUAAGAUCAAGCCCCACUUCAAGCCUGCUUGGGAUUCUCUCUCCCUCUCUUUGCCCCUCCCCCACUCGCACGCAUGCUCACUUGCUCUCUCAAAAUAAACUUAAAAAAAAAGGUAAUAGUCAUUAUUCUAAUCAGCGUAAGAUGACAUCUCAUGGUGAUUUGGAUUUGCAUUUCUCUGAUAGUGAUGUUGAACACCUUUUCGCAUACCUCUUGGCUCUUUGUGUGUUGUCUUUAGCAAAAUAUCUAUUCAGUUCCUCUGUCUGUUUUUUUUAAUUGGUUAGUUUUUUUUUACUAUUAAGUUGUAUGAGUUCCUUGUAUAUUUUGGAUAUUAAUCCUAUAUCGGAUAUCUGAUUUGCAGAUAUUUUCUCCUGUUUGGUAGAUUGCCUUUUCAUUUUGUUGAUAGUUUCCUUGGCAGUGCAGAAGCUUGGUAUGACCACUUGCUGAUUUUUGCUUUUGUUGCUUUUGCUUUUGAUGUCAAAUCCAAAAAAGUGAUUGCUGAGACCAAUGGCAAGGAGCUUACCCCCUGUUUUCUUCUAGGAGUUUAUGAUUUCGGGUCUUACAUCCAAAUCUUUAGUUCAUUUUGAGUUGAUAUUUGCGUAUGGCGUAAGAGAGGUUACAGUUCCAUCCUUGUGAAAUGUGGCUGUCCAGUUUUUCUAGCACCAUUUAUUGAAGAAACUCUCCUUUCCCUAUUGAAUAUUCUUGGGUCACUUGUUGUAAAUUAAUUGACAGUAUAUAUGGGGGUUUAUUUCUUGGCUCUCUAUUCUGUUCCACUGAUCUGUGUGUCUUUUACGUCAGUACCAUAUUGUUUUGAUACUAUAGCUUUGUAAUACAGUUUGAAAUCAGGAAGUGUGAUGUCUCCAGCUUUGUUCUCCUUUUUAAGGAUCACUUUGGUUAUUUGGGGUGUUUUGUGGUUCCAUACAAAUUUUGUGACUAUUCUAUUUGUGUGAAAAUACCAUUGGGAUUUUGAUAGGGAUUACAUUGAGUCUGUAGAUCACUUGGGUGGUAAUGGUAUUAAUGCUUUCAAUCCUUGAGCAUGGAAUAUCUUCCCAUUUAUUUGUGUCUUUCUUUCAUCGGUGUCCUAUAGCUUUCAGUGUACAGGUUUUUCACUUUCUUGGUUAAGUUUAUUCCUAGGUGUUUUAUUCUUUUCUGAAUUAUCAUUCAAGUAUAAUUAAUAUACAAUGUUACUUUCAGGUGUAUAGCGAUUCAAUAAUUCUAUAAAUUUCUCAGUACUUACCAAGAUCAGUAUAUUCUUAAUCUGCUUUAUCUAUUUCACCCAUCUCCCUCCUAUUCCCCUCUGGCAACCACCAGUUCUCUGUAUUUAAGAGUCUGUUUUUUGUUGUUGUUGUCGUCUUUUUUUUUUUUUUUUUUAAUUCACAUACAGGUGAAAUCAUAUGGUAUUUGUCUUUCUCUGAUUUAACUUAGCAUUCUAUUCUCUAGAUCACCCAUGUUGCAAAUUGCAAGAUUUCAUUCUUUUUUAUGGCUUUUUGAAGCAUUGUAAAUGGGAUUGUUGUCUUAAUUUCUCUUUCUUGUAGUUAUUAGCAUAUAAAAGGUAACUGAUUUUUGUAUACUGAUUUUGUAUCUUGCAGCUUUGUUUUUUUAUUUAUUUUUUUAAUGUUUAUUUUUGAGAGAAAGAGUGUGAGCUGGAGAGGGGCAGAGAGAGGGAGACAGAGGAUCUGAAGCAGGCUCCAAGCUAUCAGUGCAAAGCCCAUUGUGGGGCUCGAGCUCAUGAACCAUGAGAUCGUGACCUGCGCUGAAGUCUGACACUUAACCAACUGAGCCACCCAGGCGCCCCAAAAGAUUUUAUUUUUAAGUAAUCUCUGCACGCAACCUAAACUCACAGCCCUGAGGUCAAGAGUCGCAUACUCCACUGACUGAGCCAGCCAAGUGCCCCUGAAUGCUUUCUUUCUUACCUAAUUGGUCUGGCUAGGACUUCUACUACUAUAUUGUAUACGUGUAUAUAUACAACAUACGUAUAUGUAUAAAGGUAGUGAGAGUAGGUAUUGUCUUGUUACUGAAAUGAGAAGAAACACUUUAGCUUUUCACCCUUAACUAUAAUGUUAGCUGUGGGCUUAUCAAAUAUUGCCUUUAUUAUAUUGAGUACAUUCCCUUUAUACACAGUUUGUUGAGAGUUUUUACCAUGAAUGGGUGUUGAAUUUUAUUAAAUGCUUUCUUUGCGUCUGUUGA